AAUAAACUUGCACUUUUAUUAAUUCCUUUUCUGAAUAAUUCGAUGAAAUUAUAAAAUUAAUUGAAACUAAACUAAUCAUACAGGUUAUUAAUUCAUUGAAAUCUGCCAUAUUACUAUUGACAUAUCGGUAUGUACUAUUGUACAUAUUACCAAAAAUAUCCCUUUGCGUAAAUGUAAAAUUCCCCAGGCGGAACUGGAAUGAAGUCAUGCACAGAUCGACAUAACGGCGUCGUUUCUAUGACACCUUGAUCUUUUCUGCGCUAGUGCCAAGUGGAGCGUCUAUAUUUACCGAACACACGCGAGCACGCGCGCGCCGUAGCAAGUUUCUGCACGCUAGUGGAUAAUGUUGGUGGAUUAAAUAAACCGUCGGAUUAAAUAGCAUCGCUGCAUUUCGCUCUUUCGUGGCACGAGGACUGUCCGGCAAAUAGGUCGACCACAGGCAUUCAAUCUUGGAAGAAGUGAAGUACCGUAUCGUCGACAAUUUUUCUUUCGGUCAACGGACACCAUUUUAUAUUUAGAACGGGUAUGGUCGCGACGGUAACUUUUCGUUACGCCGGUUGUUUUGUCUGAAAUUCGCGUGACGCAAACGCAUUAUUCGCGCGUGUUUCUGCCAUUCCUGCAUCGACUGAGCGAUAACUCGAUAAUAUUUCGUUGUGACUUCGCUGCCACCGAGAUAUUACUGGAAGAUUGAUCGAUGAAAAGAGAAAUUUACGGAUUCGGGAAGAUAAAUUAAUUGUCGCGGAAGAGUAUAACGUUUCGAUGAAAGAAGCGAGGUGAAGGGAGGAGAGAGUGGGAAAGGAAGAAGGGAAGAAUAGAAAUUGAUCGAGGAUGCUCCGUACACUUCCAUCCUCCGCACUCCUCGCUUGAGGGCUUUUUAUUGCAAGCUCUAUUGUAAAAAAAACCAUGGAGGAGCCACGGUUGCGGCCAGUCGUAAUAAAUAUUUUACGUUCUCGCAAUCGUUUUACUGCUAUUGGGAUAUCCUGAACGCGGUAAACCACCCGCGGGAUUUCGGCCUUUUUCCUUUUGCUCCUCCAAUCGCGUAUCCCUUUCGAAGAAUGAGCGCCUAUAAUCUUCCCCCUCUACUCGAGUCGCGCUCAAACAGAUAUCCUCGAGGAAUUUUCUGGUCGUCCAAAAAAAAAAAAAGAAAAAAUUGCAAGACAUCACUCGGUUUGCUAACAUUUAAAUUUAGAAUUCAGGUUUUCGUGUCCGUAAAUAAAUAAAGAUUCGUGUUCUUUUUUAUACCGGUCUUCAUAAAUCUCGCAAAUUGUCGAAGCAUUUCUGUUUCCAUUUCUGCGUCAUCUUGCAGGUAAAAAUAAACCAUCGAACGCGUAACGUUAACAGGAUAGAUGGUGAAAAAUUUAACUUUCCUUCGCUCUCGAGAUCGUUCAAUUUGGAAUGUUGCAAUCUCUAUCGGUAUCGGUGAUUCAAGUUUCCACAAGAUUCCAGGAUCUCAAGAAUUCAAUCGUUACACCAGACUCGUACUACACUGAUCAAUAUAAUUUCCAUCGAAAUUAAACGAAGGUUAUAUAAAUCGGUCGAGUUUUUAUCGACAACAGGCUUCGAACGAAUCGUCGGACGAAGAUGUCCAUUUUCUUUCUUCCGCGCGGACAUUUUCUUUCUCCGGCGAGUGUCGCGCCGAUCGAGGCGAGAGGUGCGCAUGUGCAAACAAGACAAGAGUGUUGUCGACUCUUCGAUGCCAACUAACGGGAUCUGUAGUGAUCAAGUGGGUCAGACGAGCUCGAUCCCGACUCGGUCCCUUCGCCGGUCGGCCAUCUCGUCACGCGGAUAUUUCAAGGUUAUGUUGCUUCUCGAUAUCGUUAUUUUGAAGAAACUUGUCAAUUAUUAGAGAUGCUUGGUUAUGUUGCUUCUCGAUAUCGUUAUUUUGAAGAAACUUGUCAAUUAUUAGAGAUGCCUGGUGCAAAUAAAUAUCUAUUGAUCCAAAUUGAUGGAAUUCAGAUUGACGAGGGUGAAAUUUGGUUAGAAAUUUAAUUGGAAAGAAGAGGGAUCAGGGAGAAGAGGUUGUCUAAGCUCGCCAAGUUUUGGAUCGGAGGGAAACUUUGAUUCGCUCUUGAGAGUAGAGUUCACGAUAGUGGUAUACUUGUUGUUUUCGCGAUUAAUUCGAAGAUAAUAUUCUCCCAGUGCAGAAAAUAAUAUCUCUUUUGAUAUUAAGAAUUUCGUAAUAAUUUUCACGAGAUGAAUGAUCGAAACCGAGAGUCGAUUCUUUUUUUCUUUUUUUUUAUAUUGUUACGCGAUUUCGAUUUAACGGCGAAUUAACGGACAUAUUCUUGCGUCUCGAUUUCUAUUCUUCCGUUUAAACAACGGAAUAGAAAUUCACUCGAUGCAAUUCCAUUUUGAAAAUUUAUCUAUUCAAUUAAUUUUAAAUUUCGUAAUUUCAAUAAGAAUGAAAUUACGUACGUGUAAUUAUUUAACCCGUUACUUUUCCGGAUAAUAUUAACAGAUCCACCAGUUUUAGUCGAUUAUUGUUGCAUCAAAAAGAAUUAUUCGAUCAUUUAACAAAGAUCUGUAAUUAUUUAAUCAUAUUUCUUGGAUUCAUAAAAUAUAUUAUUCCUCUCCCGUACGAAAAUAUCAGAUUAAUUCAAAGCAUAAUUAAUUUAAAUCGAUUUUAAAAAUUUCUGCCCAAUUCUUCAUUCACUUUUUACGCUUUUUCGAGAAAAGAAUUCGAACUUCGUUUUGAAGCGAAGAUAGUCGUUCGCGUUUCGCCUGAAUUGAUCGAAUCACGCGUCGAUUUUGCCGAAUUAAUGAUCAGUUUUAUGUUGUAACAAUAAUGUAAAAAUUAAUUGGAAAAUUAUAUAUACAUUAUUAUAAAAUAUUACGAUAUAAUAUAUUAUUAUAUUAUUAUGUAUUAAUAUAUUAUAUCAUACAAUUGUAAUAGAAAAUUAUGUAUAUAUAAAUUAUUUUUUUUUUGUGUGAUGAAAAGCCAAAAAAUCUCUUUCUAGCUGUUCGAUUAAUUUCAUCUCGAUGGAUUUUUAUGUUAUAAGCAAUUACGUGAUCCAAGAAAAUUGAUUAUUAAUUGAUCUCUAUUUUUUUCCCCCUUUUUAAGAUUUUGAAGCUUCAGUUUUGCAUUUUUACCUGUGCAUCGAUUUACACAUUCGAUCGAUAUUUCCAUUUUUUUUUUCAAAGUUGAAUCCUUUUUCCUUUUUUCUUUCGAUUAGAUUCAUCUUCAUCAAUUUAUUCAAGAUUAAAUUUUUGAAUAUCUAUUUCGUUCUUCAGAACAAUUUCGGAAAAUAAAUUUUUUUCAGCUUUAAAUUACAACUUUCGUCGUGUUACAAAUGGAGGAGAGAGGGGAGAAGAGGAAAAAAUUAAGGUAACGUAAUUAUAUCAUCGCGAAUGGCUGGUUCCUUCGACUUAAUUGCAAACGAACGAACGAACCGUGAAUCUUCUCCUCUAAGAAAAUUAAUCUUGACAAAACUGAAGUUGGGAAAACACUGCACAAAUUUUUGUCCGGUUCGAGGAUGAUGGAAUAACCUCUCUUAUUUUCACCAGAUUCCAUUUCCUUCUCCUUUUCUUCUUCCUCUUCCUUGGAGAAGAAUUUAUCGAAGCAUGUUCCGUGAUAAAUCGUAAUGUCGAAUCGCGCGAUUAUUAUAAUAAUAAGAAUAAUCAAGUUUGCAGAGUUUGCAGCAACGAAUUUAUUUUUUUUCUUUUAUAAUUUCAAUCCCUGUCUUAUAAUUUAUCUCAUCUAUCUAAUUUCCCUUGCAUUUAACAAGUUUAGAGAGAUUAAAAACCACUAAAAAUUACUCUUACUCGGUGAAGAAAAUUACGAGGAAAGCGAAACAAGUAAGCCAGAAUAACCUCAAAUUUAUUUCCACUCGACUCGUCGCGUCGGACGUUAAACGUCUCAUCGUGAAGAAGAGUGGGGGAAGAGAGAGAGAGGGCAGAAUCAUCGAAAGUGACGGUGGAGGGGGAAUAGAAAGAGCUCGAGCUAUUUGGAAAUCCAACGAUUUUCGGUCGUGGUUACACUCCUCCUUCCAAGAAGGAUAGACGAUCCGGCGGAGAAGAGAUCGUCGCGAUAGCGAUUUUCGUUGGCCGCGAUCCAACGCAACCGAGGACUCGUCCAGUUUAUAAGGGGCGUCCCGUUUUCUCAAACCCAUCUCUCUCGCGCUUUUUUGGUUAAUGCUUCUCGAGAACGACUCGGUUUCAAGGAUAGGAAUUUAAACGGUUUCUUAUCUCGCGAAAAAAUAAAGAAAGAAGAAGUUCGAUCUUGUUUGUUCGACGAA